rnacentral:rRNA from 1 species
AUUGAACGCUGGCGGCAGGCCUAACACAUGCAAGUCGAACGGUAACAGGAAACAGCUUGCUGUUUCGCUGACGAGUGGCGGACGGGUGAGUAAUGUCUGGGAAACUGCCUGAUGGAGGGGGAUAACUACUGGAAACGGUAGCUAAUACCGCAUAACGUCGCAAGACCAAAGAGGGGGACCCUCGGGCCUCUUGCCAUCGGAUGUGCCCAGAUGGGAUUAGCUUGUUGGUGGGGUAACGGCUCACCAAGGCGACGAUCCCUAGCUGGUCUGAGAGGAUGACCAGCCACACUGGAACUGAGACACGGUCCAGACUCCUACGGGAGGCAGCAGUGGGGAAUAUUGCAUAAUGGGCGCAAGCCUGAUGCAGCCAUGCCGCGUGUAUGAAGAAGGCCUUCGGGUUGUAAAGUACUUUCAGCGGGGAGGAAGGGAGUAAAGUUAAUACCUUUGCUCAUUGACGUUACCCGCAGAAGAAGCACCGGCUAACUCCGUG